UUCAGACUACAGUCAUGCCACGAACUCUCCAUUUGUCAUGGAUGGAUUCUCUUGAAGUCCUCUUGUUUUUGUUUGGGAUUUGUGAUGCUACAUGUCUACAAAAGAUAGAUGUGGAGCCUUACAGGAAUGUUGAGCUGGAGUGUCAGGGUCCAGAAAAUGGCAAACUCAUCCUGCUGGCGUGGAAAAGACCUGAUCUGCUAUCAGAUGGAUACGUCUUCUUCUACCGAGAUGAUCUCCCACAUAAAAACUUCCAGGAUCCGAUUUUUAAGGAUCGAGUGAAGCUGAGAGAUCCACAGAUGAAAAAUAUGGAUAUGUCCAUCAUCCUGAGCAACAUCACCAUUAAUGACACUGGAACCUACGAGUGUUGUAUCGUCGUGGAAGACACAGGAGACAGUAGGCAAGAAACCUCUGAGAUCAAGCAUGAAAUCAGGCUGAAGGUUAGACUACUAGGUCAGACAGAAAGAUUCGGAGAUGGAGGGAAGAAGGAAGAGGCUGGAUUCAGUGUCGGACAGAAUGGACUGCUGAUAUCUCUGGGAUUUUCUGUAGUCGGAUUAAUUGUUCUUGUUAUUACUCUUCUGAUGCCUAAAAAACAGGAACAUCAUCCCAGCUCAUCCUAGUGAAGAAGAUGACAACCAGUUUGUCUUGAAGUAAACAUCUGGUAAGCAGCAAUGAAUGCUCGGGUGAACUGGGACAAUUAUUCAGGUCAACCAGGAGCACUUAGAGAUGAUUCAAAGAAACAGGAAGAAGCUGGACUCAGUGUUUUAUCUGUUGGUUUCCCAAUUCUUAUGGGAUUUUCUGCAAGACUACAUGGCAAAGAAAUGAAUGUCCCUUGAGAGGAAUAGAAAUAUUUUACUGCUAUUAUUUGCUGCUAUUUUUAUAAUCAUCAUUACCAUUUCAUGUUAAUAGUGAUGUUGCUUUCACAGAUGCAUUCAGAUGUUCAAAUAUAUUGGUAUUAUAUCAGUCUUUAUUACAAGUCCAGUUAUAACCACGUCGAAAUGUUGAGUUGAAUAUAUAAUAUAUAAUUUUAAAUGCUUUUCUAAUGCUGCUAUGAUCUCAGUGUUUCUGUGUAGACUGCAGGGACAGGAAGUUAGAUGUCUUUGAAGUUGCAGGCUGGUGCAGAAGUGAAAC